rnacentral:rRNA from 1 species
CAGUAGCCGCGAUAAUACGGAGGAUCCAAGCGUUAUCCGGAAUCAUUGGGUUUAAAGGGUCCGUAGGCGGUCUUGUAAGUCAGUGGUGAAAGCCCAUCGCUCAACGGUGGAACGGCCAUUGAUACUGCAGGACUUGAAUUAUUGGGAAGUAACUAGAAUAUGUAGUGUAGCGGUGAAAUGCUUAGAGAUUACAUGGAAUACCAAUUGCGAAGGCAGGUUACUACCAAUUGAUUGACGCUGAUGGACGAAAGCGUGGGUAGCGAACAGGAUUAGAUACCCCGGUAGUCCCUGUCUCUUAUAC